CGCGUAGGCGGCACGGCAAGUCAGGAGUGAAAGGCCUGGGCUCAACCUGGGAAUUGCUUUUGAAACUGCCGAGCUAGAGUGCGGAAGGGGCAACUGGAAUUCCCAGUGUAGCGGUGAAAUGCGUAGAUAUUGGGAAGAACACCUGAGGCGAAGGCGGGUUGCUGGGCCGACACUGACGCUGAUGCGCGAAAGCCAGGGGAGCGAACG
rnacentral:rRNA from 1 species